AUCCUUUUGUAGUUCAUAAGCAUGAUAAUUGGGUUUUUAUGAGCAUACAUGAGAUGUGCCCCCCUCAAACCUUGUUACGAUGUUGGCACAUUAGCCCUCUGACA
rnacentral:snoRNA from 1 species